ensembl:lncRNA LINC01643 long intergenic non-protein coding RNA 1643
GAGCGAGGAAACAGGGCCAGAGAAUUGGAACAAAAUACAAGGCUGCCUCUGAAAGGAAUAUCUUUGUGCUGAUGUGUCCAUCAAGAGAACAUACACAGAAGUGACACUUGCCAGUAAUUUGCAAGCAGAUGGAACUUCAAUAUGGCAAUAGAGAAAGAAUCAAUUAGACCAGAGUCUCCUCAGGAAGACUUUCUAUAGUGGAGGGCUUUGGCCAGUUGUUGGAGAUGGGGUGUGUUGAUGCCUCAUCCAUCCUCAAAGCAGCGUAAUUAUCUCUCCAAUUAAAGAGCAACCAAGGGACAACUGAACUGGAGGUUCUGCAGAAUUACAACUAAGCACGCAGCCGAGGAAUCUACUCAGCUUUGAUCUCUUAUCGCUCUGCACACACAGCCCUUUCUCUGUAAGGCUAGCUGCUCUCAGCAUCACUGUGUCUAAUCAAACGUGUCACACCUCCACUGAGAAAAUAUUUACUGGAUAGCUACUAGACAUAAGGAUGCAGAAAUGAAUUAGAAAAAUUCCUCGCCCUUGUUCAAAGCUAUGCUGGCUCUUAGAACAUCUGAGCCCCCACUGUUUCAUCUUUAGAGGAUCCCAGCUGCUGGGGUGUGAGGCCAGUGCUGGAGCCAGCAGUCUCUGACCCAGAAGGGACCUGAGGUGCUAAAGAAAAGCAUACAUUCUGGGCUGAAGAUAACCAGAAAGCCAGCAACCUGAUGGGAGGAACAUUCAUUGCACAAGCUGAGAGUGAAAUGAGCUUCUACAUCAG